CUUCUUUCUCCAUGUGCAGUGCACGCACAGAGUUGCAGAAAUUGAGCUGAAGAAAAUGCCCCCUAAGGCUAAAGAGAAGUCGAAGCCGGCCGCCGCCCCGGCCGCCGCGGUGGCCAUUGAAGAUCUCUUCACAUCCCUGAAUCGCCACAUUCAACGGUCCGAAUUCGACCUGGCCGUUAAAGUCUCCGAUCAAGUUCUUUCGAUUGCGCCGGGGGAUGAGGAUGCAAUUGGAUGCAAAAUUGUGGCUUUGAUUAAGAAUGAUAACAUCGAAGAAGCUUUAUCAGCAAUUCAAGACUUUUCGAAGAAAUCGUCGGUUGAUUUCAGUUUCUUCAAUGCAUACUGCUUCUACCGGCAAAAUAGGUUGGAUGAAGCUUUGGAGACCUUGAAAGGACAAGAAGAAAAUUUUGCAAAUAUGUUGUUGCAGUCGCAGAUUUUAUUUCGUCUAGGAAAGAUGGGUGCUUGUGUGGAUAUAUAUCAAAAACUUCAGAAGUCCAAGAUAGAUUCUUUAGAAAUAAAUUUUGUUGCUGGCUUGGUUUCUGCUGGGAGGGCUUCAGAAGUGCAGGGGACACUGGAUUCUCUCAGAGUUAAACCAACAAGCAGUUUUGAGCUGGCAUAUAAUGUUGCUUGCUCUUUGAUAGAAAGAAAUAUGUAUAAAGAUGCAGAACAACUGCUGCUGUCAUCUCGAAGAAUUGGUCAGGAGACACUAGUGGAAGAGAAUUUAGCUGAUGAUGACAUAGAAAUUGAAUUGGCCCCUAUAGCUGUUCAGUUAGCAUAUGUUCAACAGAUUCUUGGAAGAACUCAAGAAGCUUUUGAAACAUAUUCUGGCAUUAUCAAGAAAAAUCUGGCGGAUGAAUCAUCACUUGCUGUGUCAGUAAGCAACCUUAUAGCAUUAAAGGGUCCCAAGGAUGUGUCUGAUGGCUUAAGAAAACUUGAUAAGCUGAUAGAGAAAGGUGAAGGACCUCUCACCUUCCAGCUUGCUAGGGGUCUUGACCUAAAGCUCUCGCUGAAGCAAAGAGAAGCCAUUUAUGUUAAUCGUCUGUUAUUGCUUGUUCACUCUAACAAGCUAGAUCAGGCCAGAGAACUUGCUUCUGCACUUCCUGGCAUGUUUCCAGAAAGUGUUAUGCCAGUGCUUCUUCAAGCUGCAGUGCAUGUAAGAGAGAACAAAGCCAAUAAAGCAGAGGAGUUGUUAUGGCAGUUCGCAAAUAAGUAUCCCCAUAAGUCUAAGGUCAUCCUGCUUGCAAGGGCUCAGGUUGCUGCAGCUGCAGGCCAUCCCCAAAUAGCAGCUGAGUCUCUGCUAAAAAUUCCAGAUAUUCAACAUAAGCCUGCAACUGUUGCCACCCUCGUCUCACUCAAAGAACGUGCUGGAGAUAUUGAUGGUGCAGAUGCAGUGUUGGAUUCUGCUAUACGGUGGUGGUCUGAUGCCAUGACCGAAGACAAUAAGCUUGAUGUUAUCAUGCAGGAGGCCGCUUCGUUUAAGCUCAGGCAUGGAAAGAAGGAUGAGGCUGCUCGUCUCUACGAGGAGCUUGUAAAAAGCCAUGGGAGCAUGGAGGCUUUGGUUGGCCUUAUUCAGACUGCUGCUCAUACAGAUAUUGAAAAGGCUGAAUCUUAUGAGAAGCAGUUGAAACCUAUACCUGGUCUGAAAGGGAUCGAUGUUGAGAGUUUGGAGAAAACUUCUGGUGCAAAGCACACCGAGAAGGGUCCCACUGCGGGCGUUGCUGAAGCAUAUGAACCAAAGAAUAAGGAGAAAACAAAGAAGAAAAGAAAGAGAAAACCAAAGUACCCAAAAGGCUUUGACCCUGCAAAUCCAGGUCCUCCUCCAGAUCCAGAAAGGUGGCUGCCGAAGAGGGAGAGAUCUAGUUAUAGACCGAAGAGAAAGGAUAAGAGAGCAGCUCAAAUCAGGGGCUCUCAGGGUGCAGUUGUUAAAGAGGCUGAUAACAAUGUCAAUGCAAAGUCGACCCAAGCAGCUAGCUCUAAAGGGAACUCUCAGAACGCUAGCAUGGUGCACUCCAAGCAUUCAUCAAAAUCCAGGAAGAAAUCCAGGAAUUAAUUUCUGAGGAACCUCAUGCUUUGCCCUUAUAUUCUGAAUUUUGAUGUAGCUGUCAUUCAAAAACUGAGUGAAGAGAAAUGGAAGAAAACUACUAUUGUGGGCGUGGAUCAGUGAAGAAAACAUCAUGAACGGACUUGAAUCCAAAUCGAAGAUAUGCUACUUGUGAUAGAUUUCCGAAAGUGGGAGGUUGCAGCUUCUUUUCUUGGCUUGAUUUACAAAUGUGUGACCGGUAGCAACAAAUUAUUCCGAGCCCACUUAGAAGGAUCAACCGACUUGAAGAUGAAGGGAAAAAAAGAAGAAAGAAGGAGAAAUGUUUGUGGGGGGCAUUGUGUUGUAGCUUGCUUUUAUGAUGUAUUAAUUAAGGUUGUGUUGGAAAUUUUUAAAUUUUGGCAUUGUUGUAUAAGAAUAUUUGUCUAUGUAUGAAGCUUAUUGAAUUUGAA